ensembl:snoRNA Gm24173 predicted gene, 24173
AGCACUUGGUGUGUUUUUGUUCAGCUGUUGGACAAAGGCCAGUUGAACAGGUGCAAAAAAUAAAUCCUCUUUUGCAACCCAGAACUCACUGCUCAGUAUGAGUUUUGAUGCAUACCAGAAGGAAUAUA